AUGAGGUUUUCUGAUUGGAGUCAGAGAUUGUCAGUUGCGGUUCAGAAUGUGUGGGUGGUGCAAAAAAAGGUGAUGCGAUCAGAAGGAGGCCGUCUGAUGACAUCUAACGAUAGACAACAGUUCAUAGUGUGGAUUCAUUGUGAAACUCUAAAAUAUGGUUACAUUAUACCUAUAAUGCCUUGGUGGAGUGACUAUGGAUUAAUGAUUGGACCUCAGAAUUGUUGCCUCCAAGGCUUGCCAUGGCGCGACAGUGAGAAGUCUUUUAGAAAAUUAGGUCGGCUUAUCGUGUCAGACUCACUACUUGGAGAAGUGGGAAAGAUUUAG